GGGUCGGUGGCCGAGUGGCUGAAGGCGCACGCUUGGAAAGCGUGUAAACGGAAACGUUUCGGGGGUUCGAAUCCCCCCCAACCCGCCA
rnacentral:tRNA from 4 species